GACGAACGCUGGCGGCGUGCCUAAUACAUGCAAGUUGAGCGCUGAAGGUUGGUACUUGUACCGACUGGAUGAGCCGCGAACGGGUGAGUAACGCGUGGGGAAUCUGCCUUUGAGCGGGGGACAACAUUUGGAAACGAAUGCUAAUACCGCAUAAAAACUUUAAACACAAGUUUUAAGUUUGAAAGAUGCAAUUGCAUCACUCAAAGAUGAUCCCGCGUUGUAUUAGCUAGUUGGUGAGGUAAAGGCUCACCAAGGCGAUGAUACAUAGCCGACCUGAGAGGGUGAUCGGCCACAUUGGGACUGAGACACGGCCCAAACUCCUACGGGAGGCAGCAGUAGGGAAUCUUCGGCAAUGGACGAAAGUCUGACCGAGCAACGCCGCGUGAGCGAAGAAGAUUUUCGGAUCGUAAAACUCUGUUGGUAGAGAAGAACGUUGGUGAGAGUGGAAAGCUCAUCAAGUGACGGUAACUACCCAGAAAGGGACGGCUAACUACGUGCCAGCCGCCGCGGUAA
rnacentral:rRNA from 1 species